rnacentral:lncRNA from 1 species
CAUUUGACCCAGAUAUCCCUCUGCUGCGUAUCUUUCCAAAAGAAUUAAAAGAAUCAUACCACAGUGAUAUAUGCACACCCAUGUUCAUAGUGGCACAGUUUGUAAUAGCUAAAGUGUGGAAACAGCCCAAGUGCCCAUAAAUAAAUUUAUAGUUCUUUGUAUUUUACCCUACCUUGCUUUUCCUUUUUUUCUCAGCAGAAAGUCUACAAUGGAAGAGCUACCUAGAAACCAACAAAUGGCCUACUUUCUGGGUCACAACAGCUCAAUGCACAGUGAUGGACUCCUCAUUAGGUGCAGGUGCCAAGUGCCUGCUGGGACCUCCGUUUUGGUGGCAAAGCAUUCCAUUCAGGACUGAGAGGCAUCAGCAGGAAGGCUCACCUUAUCCAAAAGAAUACUAUCAACUCAAGAGGGUAAGAUACAGUAACAUGGGCAGGUCAAACCCACUUAACUUCUUCCAAUAUGGCUUAUACCUGGAACAGAGCCAGAAGAGGCUAGAGGUAUGGAGGUCAGGGCAGUGUAUUGAUGUGUAAAGUUAGGCUGGAAAUCAAAGAUCCAAAUUGCAGUAUAGUAUCAUGACCGCUCUUUUCUUUUUUUUUUUUUUGUACAGGGGAGGGGAUGGAACUUGGGUCCUUGUGCUUUCAAGGUAGGCAGCAGAACCACUGAGUUAAAUCCCCAGCCCCAUGACUGUUCUUCAGUAAAUCUAUUCACUUGAAUACUGGCCAAUAACAUGUUUAUAAAGCACCUCCUACAUUUGCUUUAUAACUAUACAGGAGAUUUUGUACUGUGAAUGGUGGGUAGAAAUAUGGGUUGUAGUGAAAACUCAGGACAACAGGGGGCUGUAGUCCCUUGCAAGCCUUUGAAAGCUUGAUCACCUGGCACUAUACCUCUCUGGGCUAAACACAGGAUGGGGAAAAUCAUCUGCCUCGUACCACGAAUCUAUUAAGAAUGGCCACAUAACUACAGAAUUCCAUCUCCUACCUUUCUAUGACAUAAAAGUUGUCUCCAUCAUCUCCUUGGUCAAAGACAUGCUCAUCCACUUUGACUGUCCUUUCAAACAUGGCAUCGAGGACUUGAGAAAGCUGUUCCUACAGGGUACACACAAGGAGAAAAAGAUGACUUUUAAACUUGUUGAAAACACAACAGUCAUGCUUAUCUCAAUUUGUGACUAUACAAUAGAGGUGAUCCCCAUACUAGACUGCGCCCCAUUUUUAAGCAGAAACCUAAAGGCUGUCUGAAACAAAUGCUCUCCUCAGGCCAGUCAGCUCUGCACGUCCAUGUACCUCAGUAGACAGGAUAAUUGUCAAGUUUUUGAGAUAAUAUCGUUUCAAAAAAGUUUUCCAAGGGUUGAAGAUUUAGCUCAGUGACGCCAUGCCCACCUUGCAAGCACAAGGCCCUGAGUUCAAUCCCUGGUACCAAAAAAAAAAAAAGGUUUUCCACAAUUUGUGCUAACACAAAUUACCUAAAUCUAGUGCCAAUGUUCCCAGUUGUGUCCACAGGC